ACUUAAAUAGCUUAUAUAAUAAGAGUAUAAUAUUGAAGAUAUUAAGGAAAUUAAAAAAAUUUUUGAGUA
rnacentral:tRNA from 1 species